GUGAAGUCAUGUGAGUGAUUCAGUAUAUGCUUUGUAUGGCUGGAGAAAGCUCAGUAGAUACAAGAAAAAGCAGUGUGUAACAGAUCUCCCCCCACCAUGCAGUGAUCUAAGAGAUGGACCCAGGCUAAAUGGUUUGGAAUAGUUCACCAGUGAAGUCAUCUCAACCAGCACAGGGCCUUGACUCCUAACAACAAUCACACGAACUUGGAAGAGGAGCCUUCCCCACCUGAACCUUCACUUGAGACCUCGUCCUUGGCCAUCCUCUACAUCUGGAUUCAUGAUACAGAGAAACUUGAGUAAUGAUGACAAUAGCAGUCCAGUGUGCAUGGAUGCUGACGUGGAUGCUGUCUCCCAUUCUUACCACUGGAUGGGAAGAAAUGAUAGAUGCAAUCCAGCCAUUGUGUUCUCGACUCUCAGUUCCAUCUUCUCAACUGACAUUGUCUUCCAAAGUCCGUGCCACACCACAGCCUGGAACAUCUCCCAAAGUGGUAUCUUGAUGCAAUGGUAGAGCUCAUGUCACAGUAUUGUAUGUCUCAGGUUUGAAUAACUCACCAGUGAAGUCAUCUUGACCUGGACAGAAAUUGAAUCCUCCCGAGAAUCCCAGGAGCUGGGUAGGUGAUCCUUCCCCAGAUGAGCCUUCCCUUGAAAUCUCUGCCAGGCAUCUGACCCAGAGAAACUACCAUGAUCAUGGACUGCAUUCUCCAUACCAUGUUCAUAUCUUCAGUGGGAAAACAAACUCCUGAGUCCUGGAGACCUAGAAUGAGAGACACAGCUGACCUUGACCGUAUUUCUCACUUCUGAGAAGAUUGUAGCAGUAAUUCAGGUCUUUGUGGAAUCUCCACACUGCCUUCCACAAUGGUUGAACUAAUUUGGACGUCCACCAACGGUGUGUCAGAGAGGUUAAUCCUAAGAACAGUUACAUGAGCUUGGAAGGAGACCCUUCCCCAGCUGAGCCUUAGCCUGGACCAUCACCUACAUCUGGACUGAAGACCUAGAGAAACAACUCUAUCAGGAAUCACUUGGGACUGUGCAUUCUGUUGACACUCACUUUGUGGAAUUAAGUUGCCCACUGCCAACCCUAAAGCCACCAAGGUAGCAGAUGAGGUCUUGUUCUUUUGGCCAGGCUGGAGUGCAGUGGUACAGUCGUGACUCACUGCAGCUUCAAACACCUGGGUUCCAGCAUUCAUCCCACUUCAGCCUCCCGUGUAGCCGGGACUACAGGUAUGAAAUAAUUUCCUAUUGAAGUCAUCUUAACAUGGAACCAGAAUUAAAUCCUAACAACAAUCAUGUGAGCCUGGGGAGGAUCCUUCCCCACGUGAGCCUUCAGGGGAGACUUCAGCCUUGGCCAUCUUCUACAUCUAGAUUCCUGACCAAGAGAAGCUGUGAGUAAUGUGUAUGUGCUUUUCAGCCACUCAGCUGUGUGGGAAUUUGUUAUACAACAAUAGCUAAGUAACACACCUGGCAUUGAAUGUAAUGUGGUAUCCUAGAUUAGAUACUGGAAUAGAAAAGUGACAUUAUUGGAAACCUGAGGAGAACUAUGAAGAAAGUCUGUAGUUCCAUUGAUGGUUUUAUAACACUGUCAAUUUCUCAGUUUUCAUGAAUAGUCUAUGGUUAUAUAAUGUGUUAACAUUCCUUUAAGCUGAAAGGUAUAUGAAACUCUCUGCACUAUAUAUACCUCCUUCUGUAAGUCAAAUAUGAUUUCAAAAUAAUUUUAAAAUAAUAUUUUGGUGCAAAACAAAAACCAACAAAAAGACACAAGAACAUUAGCUUGGUUUCAGGAGAUGGGGUGGGCAAGUAGGGAAAGAACAGCAGUGCAGCUUUCCUAAUCUAUCCACCAUUCGGAACCCAGGUGCACCUGCUUCAGUUAAACACAGUUAGCUCUGGGGACUCUCAUCCAUUUUUGUCUUUGAAAUCAUGCUACUCAUUAUCCACGAACAUUUCAAGUGUCAGUAACCACUUCUUCAGAGAGAGGUGCCUGUUCCUCAUAUAUCCCAGGAUGCCCCAUUUUCAGGCAUUGUCUGGCAGUUUAUUCACAUAAUUCCAGUAAAGCCUUUCUGGAAAAAAUGACUGCUGGACCUUAGAAGCCGAUAUUGCAAAAUGUCAGUGACAGGGAACACAAAUUGUAUUUCUACAAUCAGGAGAGUGUUUUAAUUCCCUUGGUACAGAGAUUUGUUCUUCAACUGAUUAUCAGAUCACUGUGAUAAUUUCUAUUUCUCUUGUCAUGAAUUAUUUGGGACCAUAUAUUCUGUUGCUCUUCACAUCUUGGAAUUAUAUUGUCCAUUUCCAAGGUCAAAGACCACAGAAUAAAUGUCAUCCUGGCAGCAGGUGAGUAGGGCACACAAACAAUGCUUCUAAAUAUGGUGGUUGAUGACAAUGCUUGCUUACUAAGACCUCGAUAUGAAUCUGUGGACAACUGGUUUUUGGCAGGUGAAGUCAUGUGAGUGAUUCAGUAUAUGCUGUGUAUGGCUGGAGAAAGCUGAGUAGAUACAAGAAAAAGCAGUGUGUAACAGAUCUCCCCCCACCAUGCAGUGAUCUAAGAGAUGGACCCAGGCUAAAUGGUGACUCUGCACGUGUUCUGGCUAAACAAAGAAUCUCACAGCAGGAAGAACUGUCCAGCUGUCCCCCACAUAGGUCCCUGCUCAUAGUUCACGGCACUCUGCGGUGUUAGCAUCAGGGUUGUGCCAAAGAACCAUGCCUACAAAGCCUCCCAAGCCAUGAGUCUGCAUGCUGCACUCACACAGACAUAGACAAAGCCAAGACUAUUGCCUUUAUGAUGGUCUGUAAACAUGGGGCAUAUUCUCUAUAGCACAUUGAUAGCUUAUAUGAGAAAAUGAGAUCUUGCAGCCUGGAGACCUAGAGUGGGAGAUAUGACUGACCUCGACCACAUUUUUCACUUCUGAUAUCAGCAUAGAAGUGAUUUAGGUGCUGUUAUUUGAGCAUCUGUACUUUAAGAAACCUUCCACGUCUUCCAAGUUCCAUAUACUUUACUCUUUAAGACAUGACUCCUCUUUUAAAUUUGACAUCUUAAAGGAGGUUUAUUCCAUUUUUUAAAUUUUAACUGAAGAUACUAUAGUACAGUACUUAAAUGACAGAUCUUCUGUUCCUCUUCAUUUUAAUGCAUACUUUUUGAUCUAUUAUGAUGCAUACUGUGAAUAUUCUGCCCACCAAUAAAUGGACCAAAAAAUGGCCAGAGUGACACAUAUGAGCCACAGUUAGACCUGGACAUGAGUUAUGAGGACUACCACAUGGUGGUCACAAUAAUUGAGAUCUGAGUUCUCAAAUUUAAAGGAAAACAGGCACUAUACACAAAACUCUACUGACAUAUUAUCAUGGACACAAAGGACAGAGUGCUGAGCACUGAGUGCCCAAACAAGUGCUUUAACAGCAUGGAAGGCAUGAUUUCCCACAAUAUACUAAGCCACUAAAUUCACAAAGGCCACCACAAUUCUAAAAAAAGAUGUCACUGCAAACAAACCCAAGUCUUAGACCACAAUAUAAGACAAACAUCCCAACAUGCUGUCUCCACACUCUAGCCUGAUUAGGAGUUGUAGUUCAGUGGAUGAAUGGCCCAUAUAUUUAACAUCAUUACUUCAUGUUCAUGCAAUUCAACCUUCCUGCAGUCUAAAACUAUAGGUGAAAUUUCAGUCAAAGUCCUAAAUUAUGAAUUGUAUGAGUUUCUUCUUCACUUAAUAUUUUCCCAGGGAAACAGGAAAACUAAUUUCAAUAUCCAAGUGUCCAAAAGUAGAGUUUGCCAGAGUAGCAAGGGGGCAGAACAAAGCAUUUUAUGAAGAUCACAAUGCAUCUGCUUCUACAGUGCCUAUGUAUUAUCACCAUUUGUGUGAUUAAAAGGGUGAAUGAGAAUGAAGAAAAACAGAGAUCAAGAAUGUUAUAGAUUAAAGAAUUGAAUUUGUAAUGUAGCUUGCAGGGAUCAUUGCUUAUAUUACUAACUUUAGGACACAAUUUUUUUAAUAUAGAUUUUCCUUAGUCUUUAGAAAACUAGCACUUCAGGAAAAAUUUCAAGUGUCUCUCUACAAUUUAUAUCUUCCUCAUCAACAGAUUUCUUGAACCAUAGUUUAUAAAACAAUUACAGCACUUUACUAAUAAGUCUAAUAUUUCUAAUAACUAAGUAGAAUGUAAAUAGAAUUGUUAAAUUAAUGUGAAAAUAUAUACAACAAUGUUUACUUAAUAACAGACUAAAAUAUAGCAGAUUAGCCACCAUGAUUUUUUCUUUUUCUUUUUGAGUUGGAGUUUGCUGUUUCGCCCAGGCUGGAGUGAAGUGGCGAGAUCUCCCCUCACUGCAACCUCCGCCCCCGGGGUUCAAGUGAUUCUCCUGCCUCAGCCACCACCAUUUAACACUGAGAAGUGGGCAGUCACAGAGAAAAAGUUUAGAAUAGUUCACCAGUGAAGUCAUCUCAACCAGCACAGGGCCUUGACUCCUAACAACAAUCACACGAACUUGGAAGAGGAGCCUUCCCCAACUGAACCUUCGCUUGAGACCUCGUCCUUGGCCAUCCUCUACAUCUGGAUUCAUGAUACAGAGAAACUGUGAUGAGUAAUGAUGACACUAGCAGUCCAGCCUGCAUGGAUGCUGACAUGGAUGCUGUCUCCCAUUCUUACCACUGGAUGGGAAGAAAUGCUAGAUGCAAUCCAGCCAGUCUGUACUCGACUGUCAGUUCCAUCUUCUCAACUCACAGUGUCUUCCAAAGUCCGUGCCACACCACAGCCUGGAACAUCUCCCAAGGUUUCAAAUAAUUCAUCAGUGAAUUCUUCUCAACCUGGUCAAUCAUGUGAACUUAGAAGAUGAUUCCUCCCCAGCUGAUCCUCAGGUGAGACAUCAGCCUUGGCCAUCAUCUACAUCUGGAUUCCUGACCCAGAGAAACUGGAACACUAAGACCCAUUCUUCUUCUCAAGUAUCCAAAAAUAAAGUUGAUCCAAGUAAGAAGUGGACAGCAUAAAAGAUUGUAUGGAAGCUAUAAUGCAUCUACAUCUGCAGUAACUAAUCAUAAAAUGAUUUGUAUGAUCAUUCUUCACAUGAUUAGAAUUACUAUGGGAAAGAAGAAAAAGAAAUGCCUCUCUGGAUGGUGACUAUAACCUAUAGCCUUGCCCAAUAUGACUCAGGAUUUGGUACUGGCUGUGCCUUUCAUGGGAUGCUUACUUAUCCUGGUCGAUGGCCUAAAGCCCAACCGUCCAGCUUAUAUCCAGGGUCUCAAGCCACCCAGGCUGGAGUGCAGUGGCACAAUUAUGGCUCACUGUAGCCUCACCUUCCUGGGAUCAAGCAAUCUUCUUUCUUCAGCCUCCAGAGGAGCUGGGACCACAGAUCCUUUGGCAUUUGAGAGUUGCUUUGUGUAUACGGUCCUUUAACGGAGCAAAUGGCCAGCCAGGAAACCAAAGUAUGGACAAGGGGAAAGAAGCGUCUGUGGAGGAAGUUUUACAAGCGCCCUCCUCAUCCAUUUGGGUGGUGUUGCCCAUAUGCUACAUGUCUGUGGACCACUAUGUGUGUUUAAAGCUUUUUAGUAAAACGUUACUAAAAACUAUGACUCACUGUGGUGAAAAAGGUGGCAAAACAGUGACAACAACUUGUCAUUGCUACAGCAACACGGAGAUGCAUUGACACCCUUCUUCAAUCCAGAGGAUGGGCCAUCAACUCACAAAAGUACAAGGCCUGGAACCAGCUGCAAAGUUCCUAUGGAUCACUUGGCCAGAAACAGGUUCUAACUAUGUUGCCCAAGCUGGUCCUGAACCGCUAGCCUCAAAUAAUCCUCCUGCCUGAACCUACCAAAGCAUUGGUAUUACAAGUUUGACCCACCGUGAUCUGUCCAGAGUGGGAAAUAGAAUCUUAACAACUAUCACAUGAACUUUGAGGGUAUCCUUCUCCAGAUGAGCCUUCAGUUGAGACCUCAGCCUUGGACAUCAUCUGCACCUGGAUUCCUGACCCAGAGCAACUACAGGCAUGCAUAUGUUAUCCCAGCUUCUGGGGAGGCUGACUUGGGAGGAUUGCUUGAGCCCAGGAGUUCCAAACUGAAGUGAGCCAUGAUUGUGUCACUGCACUCCAGCUUGGGAAACAGAGGGAGACCAAGACUCAAAAAAAAAAACUGGCCUCAGAAGGAAUUUUAUGGAACCUUGUAUUCUGUUGAAUACCAGAAUUAUAUCAGCAAUCCCAAAGUCACCAAAUGGGCAUCAUCAUGACAGCAGACCGUGAUCAUGGGCUACAUUCUCCGUACCAGCUUCAUAGCUCCAGUGAGAAAAUAAAUUCCUGCAUCCAGGAGAUGUGGAGUAAGAGAUACAGCUGCCCUUGACCAUAUUUCUUACUUCCGAGAAGAUCGUAGCAGUAAUUCAGAAUCUCAUCCAGGAUACCUCAUCACAGGCUGGAGUGCAGUGUCAUGAGCUUGGCUCACUACAGCCUCCAUCUUCUGUGCUUAAGGAUCCUUCCCUCUCAACCUCCAAGGUAGCUGAGACUACAGGUAUGUGCCACCAUGCUGGACUAAUUUAUUGUUGUUGUUGUUGUUUGUUAGAUUUUUGGUAGAGGCAAGGUUUCACCAUGUUGCCCAGGCCAGAGUCAAACUCCUGGGCUCAAGUGAUAUUUAUUUUGUUAUAGAGAUGGGGUCUUAAUGUGGUGCCCAGGCUAGUCUGGGAUUACAGGUGUGAGCCACUGUGCCUUGCCAAAAACUGCCAUUCUCAUCAUAUCGUACCAAGAGUACAAACUCAACAAGGGUACAAACUGUCAACCAGAGUAGACAUUCAUUAUUGGCAGAAUGUCUACAAAUUCCUUUAAACCUUCACCAUAAACAUGUGCCUACUCUCUUCCAAUUAUUUCAUGUGUAUUAAUUUAUUCAUUUAUACAUGCAUCUUUUAUUUAUAUCAUUAUCUAAAUAUGGAGAUUUAUUUUACAAUGCGUAUGUGCUAUUUUUUUUUUUUUGAGACAGAGCCUUUCUCUGUUGCCCAGGCUGGAGUGCAAUGGUGCGAUCUCAGCUCAUCGCAACCUCUGCCCCCUGGGUUCAAGCGAUUCUAGUGCCUCAGUUUCCUGACUGGCUGGGAUUACAGGCAUGAGACACUACACCUGGCUAAGUUUUGUGUUUUUAGUAGAGACAGGGUUUCACCAUGUUGGCCAGGUUGGUCUUAAACUCCAUACCUCAGAUGAUCCACCCUCCUCGGCCUCCCAAAGUGCUGGGAUUACAGGCAUGAGCCACCAUGCUUGGCCGCUAUUUUUUUUUUUAAUUGCACAAAUUGUUCCAGUGUUGGCUAUUGGAAGGUUUUUAAGUUGUCUCUUGUAUCACUUUGAAAUACCUCCAUAAUUAAAGUUUGAUGUUGUGUGGUUGGUUGGUUUUGUUGUUGUUUGGCAUUUUCUUUUGUUCAGUCACUAUUAUAUGCUCCAGUCUAUGAAUUUAAUUGUGCUCCAGGGUAAUUUGGUAAUUUUAUAAUUUCUACGAAUGUUUCCAACACCAUAUGACCUAAUCCAGCACCAUAUAAAUGGAUCCACUCAUUCUCUCAUUUGUAUGUAAUCUAGCACUCCCUGCAAGCAAGUUGAUGUUGUUAAUUUAAUCAUGCUACCUGAACAAGGUAUAUUGCUAUGUAGAAAAAUACAAGUUGAAACAGUCAAAAUACUGUGUAAUUCCAUUCAUAUGACUCUGUAGAAAAGGAAAAAGUGUAGUGAUAGUAGAGUUCAGUGGUAACAAGGGGCUUGGGAGAGAUAUAGGUGACAUCAGUGAACUACCGAAGAUUUCUUUUGGGCAGUGAAAUUCCUCUUUGAUACUGUAACGGUGGAUACAUCAUAAUGUUUUCCAAAUCCUGAAGAACUUUGUAACACAAAGAGUGUAGCUAAUUUAUGCAAAUUAAAAACCUUAUUUAGGAGGUCACAAGUUUGCCUUUUCACAGUAUUUUACCUUUUCCAACUUAUAUUUUUUAGCAAUAUGCUUUUUAGAUUUUUGAAGUACACCUCAUGGUUUUUAGAUUUGCCUUCACCUAAUUGUUGUAGGACAGGUGAGUCACACAAUUGGGGCUUAUCCUGAGAGGGUUAUUAGCUUUGUCCAGGAAAGAAUUUAAGGGCAAGUGGGUGAUGUUAGACUGCAAUAUUUUAUUGAAUGGUACUGCUCCUAGCAGAGCAGGGCUAACUCUUAAGCAGUGUGUUCAGAGUUGGCAACAUAUAGGCCUCCUGGCAACUGUGUUUAUAUGCAAUCAAACCCACUUUUAAUUAUAUGCAAAUUGAGGGGCAGAUCAAUGCAAAUUGAGGCAGGAAAGGGGCAGUGACUUCUAGGUUGUCUCCAUGGAAAGGGGCAGUAACUUCUGAGCUGUAGCCAUGGAAUUUGUAAACAGUUAUGUGGUUGGUAGGAGUGUCAUAUGAGUGACAAAUGAAGACUGCCAGGGAUCACAUUUACCACAAUGUACACGCUUCUGUCAGUUUUUUCCCUUUAUCCUGUCUGGAGCAGAUCUUAUUUUGGUCAUCAAGGUUGUGAAACCAGAAAACAAGUCCUUCCAGUCUCCUACCUCAUAAUGACAAAAGACAUUGAGCAUAAUUUCAUGUGAUUUUGGAUAUGACUAUGGCUUUCUUUUGAGAGUUGGCUAUUUAAGAUUUUGCCAUUUUUGAUUGGGAUAUUUGCCUUUUUAAUUUUGAGUUGUAAGACAUUGUAUAUUCUGGAUAAUAGACCAUUAUCACCUAUAAAAUUUGCAAUUUUCACAUAUUUUCUGCCAUUCUUUGGGUGCCUCUUUAUAUUUGAUGGUGGACUUUAAAUUGCAAAAGAUUUUAAUUCUAAUGAAGUUUAAUAUUUCUAUAUUUUCUUCUUUCCUUUGUGCUUUUCAGUGUCAUAUCUUAAAACAUUGUUUAACCAGAGACCACAAAGAUGUAUUCCUGUGUUCCUUUUUAUGGGUUGGCCCUGUUUAGCUCUUAUAUUUAGAUGGAUUAUCAUUUUGAGUCAAUUAUGUUUCUGGUAUGAGGCAAGAGUCUAACUUGCAUGUGGAUAUCCACUUGACCCACAAACAUUUGACAAGAAAAUAUUGCUUCAUACCUAAUUUAUUUGGCCACAGUAUAAAAGCAUUUCACCAUAAAUGUAGGGAUUCAUUUUUCAGUAUUAUAUUCUCUACUCCAUUGAUCAAUACAUAUAUCCCUAUACUAGUACCACAAAUCUUGAUUACUAUUACUUUGUAGUAAGUUUUGCAAUCAAGAAGCAUAUGUCUACUAUGCAAACCCUUUUUGUCCUUCUCAAGAGUGUUUUGGCUGCUCAUGAUCUAUAUUAUAUAUAAUUUUAGGAUAAACUUCUGAAUUUAGGGGAAGGUAAUGCCACCUGGUGUUUUGAGAGAAGUUGCAUUAAUUCUAUAGAUCCAUUUGGAAAAUAUUGCCAACCUAACAAUAUGCAUUCUGUAGUUUUUAGUGUACAUAUCUUAUACUUAAUUUGAUAAGGUUAUUCCUAAGUAUUUUUGAUGUGAUCUUAAUUGGAACGAUUUUCUGAGUUUUGUUUUUAGAUUGUUAAUUGCUAGUAUAGAGAAAUUUAAAAUAUUUUAUAUAUUUUAUAUGCUGCAAACUUCUUUGAACUCAUCUUUAAAUUCUAAACAUAUUUGAUAGAGUCCUUUGGACUUUUUAUACAUGAGAUCAUGUCAUUUGCAAACAGUCGGAGUUUGACUUCCUUUCCAUACUAGAAACGUUAUAUUUAUUUUUCUAAAUGAAUUGCCCUGUCUACAUUCUCCAGUACAAUGUUGCGAACAAGUGUCAACAGUGGAAAUAUUUGACUUCUUUCUAAUAUCAGAGAAAUUAGUGAACCUUUCAGAUUACUUAUGAUGAUAUGUGAGCUUUUCAUAGAUGCCCUUUGAAAUGAAGAAAGUUCUCUUAUCUGCCUAAUUUGCUGCAUGUUUUUAUAAUACUGAAUCUGGGAAUUUUCAAGUGCUUGUUGCACACCUUCUGAGACGAUUGUGUAGUUUUUAUUCUUUAUUAAUAUAGUGUAUGACAUUAAUUGUAUCAUAUGUUGAACCAAAUUUGCAUUCCUGAGGUAAAUACCUUUUGCCAUAGUUUAUAAUACUUUCUACAUGUUGCUGAUUUCAUUUGAUAAUAUCUCGCUGCUGAUUUUUGUCUCUGUAUUUAUAAGGCAUAUUGGUCUUCAUUCUCCUUAUUUGAAAUGUCUUUGUGUAGUUGUUCAAUCAGGGUAAACUAAUUCAUAGUAUACAAUGGGAAGUGAUCUAUUUUCUACUUCUUUAUUAUUAUUGUAUUGUUUUGAAAUAUUUUUGAUAAAUUAGUAUUAAUUUUAAGUGAUUUUAAUAACACAUCAAUGAGUUCCUGAUGAGGGCAGGGAGGUGAAUCCUAAGAACAAUCAUGUGAGUUUGGAAGGAGACCCUUCCCCAGCUGAGCCUCAGCCUGAGCCAUCCCCUACAUCUAGACCGAAGACCCAGAGAAACCGUGAGUAGUAUGUGUGUGGUUCUGAGCCACUAAGGUAUGUAGUAAUUUGUUAUGCACCAAGUAGUAAGUAAUAUACCUGACAGUAAUUGUUAGGUGGUAUUCUGGAUUAGGUCCUGGAAUAGAUAAGUAUAUGAUUAUUAGAAAACCUGGUAAAAUAUGAAGGAAGUUUGUAGAUCAGUUAAUAGUCUUGAAAAACAGUUAAAUUCUUAGUUUUCAUGAAUAUGCUAUGGUUACAAUAUAUAUUAACAUUCUAGUUAUCUGAAUGGUAUAUGAAACUGUCUGUACUUACCUAUGUGCAUUUAUGUAAAUCUGCAGUUAUUUCAAAAUAAAUAUGUUUUUUAAUAUUAUUAUUAUUUUUUUAAGAAAAGUAAGCAAGUAAAGACAUCAGCAAAAAACUUUUGCCUCCAGAUACAAGUGGGCAUGUAGGGAGAGAAUAGUAAACUGGCUUUUCUUUUCUUUUCUAGGCAACAUUCGAAACCCAGGUGCCACUCCUUCAGGAAGGUACCAUCAAGCUCCAAGGACUCAUCCUCUUUCUCCUUCCCCACUACCUAGUCAUUAGAGCGUCAGCAUCCACUUCCUGAAAGGAAGAUGCCUGUUUUUCACAUAUCCCAGAAAGCCUCAUUUUAGGACAGCAUUUAGCAGAGUGUAUUCAGGAUCCCACUAACCUUUUCGGAAGACAUGACUUCCAGAUGAUAUAAGGCAAGAAUAAGAAAUUUCAGUGACAGGGAACAGAAAUCAUAUUUCUGCAUUCAGGAUCAUGUUUUCUUGGCUCCAUCAGGAACUGUGCAGGACUGUGCACUCUGUUGAUACUCACAUGGUGGAAUUAUAUUGCCCUUGGCCAACCCUAAAGCCAUCAAGAUAGCAGGUUUGGAAUAAUUCACUGUCGAAGUCUUCUUGAGCUGAGCAGUCAUGUGAGCUUGGAAGAUGAUCCCUCUCCAGCUGAUCCUUCAGCUCAGGCCAUCAUCUACAUCUGGAUUCCUGACCCGGAGAAACUAUGAGUAAUGUGUGCUGCUUUUGAGCCACUAAGCUACAUGAAUUAAUGAAGGAUCAUUAUUAAGUUUUUAAUGGGUCAAGAGAAAGUUACCACUGAGGUCUUCUCUACCUGGGCAACAAUUGACUCCUAACAACCACUAUAAGCUUGGAAGAUGAUCCCUCCCCAGCUGAUCCUUCAGGCUGGACCUUUGACACUUGUCUGACACAGUCUAUAUGUGAAUAGAUGGCUGAGUGUCCUGGCUAGUGAAGAUGGCAUUCCUCGCCCUAAGUUGAACAGUGUUUUCCUCACCUGAAACCACGAAGACACAACAGCAAGAAGAGGGUAUACAUAAUUCAGGACUCCACAGCAGAUGAGAAUUUGCCCACAGUGUGGAGGGCCCUAAUGCCAACAGGACAGUGUUGAGAAGCACAUAUUUUCUUUUGAAUGAAGCAUUUCUACAGAGGGGGGUCUCUGAGACUCAAGAGCAUAUAUAUGCUAUACAAAUAAUAAAAUCUUCAAUCAAAUAGCCUAAAAAUUCUACUCAAGUGGCUGCAUUUGUUCAUGAUUUAUGAGAUGUUAGAAACCAAUAGAGCAAGACAACUGAUAGUUUAUGGAUGUUUUUACUCCAAAUUAACAGAGUAGCUUUUGUUUUGCCAGCUACAGCUGUAAUGAGGAGUUCUGUGAUUUAACACUGUAUCAAGAUAAUUUCAAGGCCAGAUCUUGGUCAAGAACACAUGUUUUGCCUAUACAUUGUGAUUGCAUUAGAACCAGGCACCAUUAACCAAAAUUUUACCGAAUAUGAAGAGCAAUAUACUCCAUGCAAAUAAAACAGCCUGUGGAAUGUACAUAGUGAAGGACAGAAGCAAGAUGAUUCUUGAAUUAAAGCAAACUGGAUGUUUACCAGGGAAGCAAACAGAGUAGAUAUACAUUAACAUUAUCUUCUUCUUUUGAUAAUGAUUGUGUUCUUCUCGUAUAAAUAAAAAGCUCUACUUGCAUUAUUUCAUAUUAUAUUCAGUUUAUUGGCCACAUAUAACAAAAUAACAUAGAAAACCCAGGAGAGGGUCAUAUGAGGUGGUUCAGUCUAUAUAUACAUGUCAUUUCUGACAACUCUAAUGAAUGACCACUCAUCCUUGGGCUUGUUGCAAGACAGCCAUGCUAUGUAAAAGCAUCUGUCUUUUUGCAGACAGGAAUAAGAUGAAGGAUUCAAGGUCAAGUUUACUCAAAUAGGUUCUCCUGGGGUCUUUGCCUUUUGUUUCUGGAGUAUUUCCGAAGUUCUGUAAACUAUGUGUUGGUGGAGUAAUUGCAACCCCACCUGUAUGAGAGCUGGCAUGAUUACUCUCUCUCAAUUUUACCACUGAAUGUGGAGAAUGGCUUGAUAUACUCUUGGCUGUAUGCUUCCAGAUGACAGUAUUAAGGUGAAUAUGAAACAUUAUGAAUGGAACCCACAGAGAAAGAUAAAUCAAUAAACUCACAUUUGUAACCCUAAAGGUAAAGUUAGAAUCAAUCUAUGCACAGUGCCUGUAGGAGUCUUGAUGGAGGACGUCUCUACAUAUCAUUGAAUCAAAAAUUUAGAUGUAUCUAAAGGAAAAGAAGAUAUCACUGUCAAUUAGACUAUUACACAUAAUAGCUUCAUUUUAUACUUACUGAAAAACCCUCCUAGAAUUAUAAAGGCAUGAUUUUUAUUCACAUAAAGAUGAAAGCAACAUUGAAAAUAUCCCUAAAUGAAUUCACAAAUAUCUUGACAUUCUGAUUCUAGUUGUUAAUUAGAUUUUGACACAGAGAUAUGAAUAUCUUAAGACAUUACCUUCUGAGGCGAGAAGACUCAUGGCAAUAAAACAUUUCUUCAUUAAAAAGGCUGCGACCAUGCAUGUUCAUUGCAGCACUAUUUACAAUAGCGAAGACAAGGAAUCAAUCUAAAUGCCCAUCAAUAAUAGACUGGAUGAAGAAAAUGUGGUACAUAUACACCAUAGAAUACUAUACAGUCAUAACAAACAAUGAGAUCAUGUCUUUUUCGGGAACAUGGAUGGAGCUGGAGGCCAUUAUCCUUCGCAAAAUAAUGCAGGAACAGAAAAACAAAUACCGCAUGUUCUCACUUAUGAGUAGGAGCUAAGUGAUGAGAACACAUGGACAUAUAGAGGAGAACAACACACACUGAGGCCUAUGGGAGGGUGGAAGGUAGGAGGAGGGAGAGGAUCAGAAAAAAUAUCUAAUAGGUACUAGGCUGAAUACCUGGGUGAUGAAAUAAUCUGUACAAAAAAUAUUCACGACCACAAGUUUACCUAUGUAACUAUCCUGCACUUGUACCCCUGAACUUAAAAUAAAAGUUUUUUAAAAGGC
rnacentral:lncRNA from 1 species